UACGAAGGGGGCUAGCGUUGCUCGGAAUCACUGGGCGUAAAGGGUGCGUAGGCGGGUCUUUUAAGUCAGGGGUGAAAUCCUGGAGCUCAACUCCAGAACUGCCUUUGAUACUGAAGAUCUUGAGUUCGGGAGAGGUGAGUGGAACUGCGAGUGUAGAGGUGAAAUUCGUAGAUAUUCGCAAGAACACCAGUGGCGAAGGCGGCUUACUGGUCCGGUUCUGACGCUGAGGCGCGAAACGUGGGGAGCAAACAGG
rnacentral:rRNA from 1 species